UGCCGUGGUAUGCUGAAAUUUUACUUUGAACAAAAUAGAGUGCUUAAAGCAAGUGAUGUGCUUGAAUAAUGUUGCAUGGAAUAAUGGAGAAGGACCUCGGUUCUAUUUUUUUGGUUUUCGGAUCUGAGGUAAUGAUUAAAA
rnacentral:ncRNA from 1 species